rnacentral:lncRNA from 1 species
GUCAAAUGGUGGAUCUUCCCGUUUGGAGAUUGACCUAAUAGUCAUUCAACAUGUACCAAGUGCCAGAGGAGCUGAGAAAAAUACUCAAUAUAAUAAAGCAAUGGACAACCAGAUGACAGAGUUGUGACUUAUUGGCCCUGGACAUCAUUCUAAUAUGCAGUACAUUUUCAAAUGAUGAAUGAACACAAAUUUUUACAAGAACCUUGAAUAGAGAAGAGGAAUAACAAAAUAAUGGAAGGAAAGAAUGGAAGACGGAAGACAGGAAAAAAGGAAAGAAGAAAGAAGCAGUUUUCCAUCAGGAAAGCUGGAAACAAGGAAUCAACAACUUACUCUUUCUGUGGGCAAUUGGAGGACAUGAAACAGUUGAUCUGCUCAUGAAUGUCUUUGGCUAUUACAAGGGACAGAAGAAUGACCUAAAGAGUGUGAACUCUAACAUAGCCCAACCAUUUCUCCCCAGGACAAAAACUAUUAAAUGUCUAGCAGAUAUGGCCUCCUUUGACUUUGUUCAAAUGGGAUGAAACCUUAUUAAAACAUCAAAUCUCAAAGACACAGUUUGGCCACAGAUCUAUUUCAAGUUAAAGGCCACUCUGUGAACAUAGCCCUUUUGCAACUUUCAAACAUUUCAUAAAUGUGCAGUUAAUAGGAAGAUUGAUAAAUUCUCACUUUAACUGCUGUUCAGAGCUGUCAUCUUCUUCUCGCUAGAUCUCAUGGCCUAAAGAAGGAACUUCUAGUAUGCUAAAUGUCACUACAGGGUUGAAACUCCCAGCGUAUUUUUGUGUAUUAACUUAAAUAUUAACUUAAGUAUUAACUUAAAAUAAUUCUCAUAGGUGCAUAGAGUAAUAGAACUGGUAUUCUAUAGUAUUAUAGAAACCUCAGAUACAAAUAUGGAUGACGAGCCUUUUGUUUUUUAGGAGUAGAGACAAGGGCAGUUUGAGAAGAAGUAUUUAAUAAAGGACAAGCAAAUGGCA